rnacentral:rRNA from 1 species
GAUGAACGCUAGCGGCAGGCCUAACACAUGCAAGACGAGGGGUAGAGUAAGCUUGCUUACUUGAGACCGGCGCACGGGUGCGUAACGCGUAUGCAAUCUACCUUAUACUAAGGGAUAGCCCAGAGAAAUUUGGAUUAAUACCUUAUAGUUAAUUUAGUUGGCAUCAAUUGAAUUAUAAAGAUUUAUUGGUAUAAGAUGAGCAUGCGUCCCAUUAGUUAGUUGGUAAGGUAACGGCUUACCAAGACGAUGAUGGGUAGGGGUCCUGAGAGGGAGAUCCCCCACACUGGUACUGAGACACGGACCAGACUCCUACGGGAGGCAGCAGUGAGGAAUAUUGGACAAUGGGCGCAAGCCUGAUCCAGCCAUGCCGCGUGCAGGAUGAAGCAUCUAUGGUGUGUAAACUGCUUUUGUACGGGAAGAAAAAACAUUACGAGUAAUGUACUGACGGUACCGUAAGAAUAAGGAUCGGCUAACUCCGUGCCAGCAGCCGCGGUAA